CCGGGAAUUCAGGCCGUGAAUAUUGAUGGCCGAUCUGUUACUCCCGAUGGUUUGAGCAAAAGAAAUGUCUCCCUCAGGCUGGACGGAAGCAGCAGAGCCUGUUUGCGACAAGCCUGCCAACUAAGCCUGACGGAAGGAGCUGGGUGGAGUAGGUGCUCCGAGGGCCAAUCCGAUCCCACGGGGAAAUCUGGCAGCACCCUGGAACAGCAGCUCUCAAACCUGACACAUGUUAGAGGCACCUGGGGAACUUAAAAUCCCAAGGCUCAGGCCACCCACCAAGCAGAUUGCAUCAGAUUCUUCUCCAGGGGACGACCCAGGCAGGCAUCAGUCAUUUGAAAACUCCCCAGGUGACCCCAGUGCGGCGUCCUAGGGAUGCUCGGCUCAUCGCCUUCGGAAAGACACUGACUACCCGUCAAGAGGAGACUGAAGUUUGCUGGCCCUGUUUGAAUCGCAAAACAAAGAGAGCCUGCCUGGAAGAAUAAAAGGCACUUCGUUGGGCUAUUCACUUCUCGGAAGGGACUGAGGUAUAAACCGCCACCUUUAUUGAAGAUAACUAAGAUGGAAUCCACAGACUAAGAAAAGUGCAUCUUGGGGACCAAUCUUGCUCAGGAUACGCUCUGGGAAAUGCUAGGCAGGAUGGUGUGGGUGCAGAGUGAAAAAGCGACCAGUGUCAGAUCUUCCUGGUGAAUCAGUGGCUACCAACAUGGUGUCACCGAAGCCCGCUCUAUGCAGAUAAUUCCUGGGGCCUGAUCCUCCCACCUUCAGAAUAAAUUACACGGGGGUCAAGAAUUGGAACAUCAUGAUUCUGAGCCAUCACACACUGCAGCUCUCAGAAAUCAAAGGGAGGCAGAAACCCCUUUCAAGAGCCUGAUGCCUGUGACUCUUUGUUCUUCAUGAUGUCGGCCUUUCUAUUUUUUCCCGUCUCCUUCCUCGUCAGACUACCGGCUGUCACUUCUCUCCACUCCAAGGGUGCCUGUCUAGUCCCUGGUUUGCUGCCUCUAAUCCACCGUGGACUUGACAACUGGAUAAUGAAGUUUAUGAGAGCUGUGUGUAAAGUGAGGGUACACAGACUCAGAUGAACGAGACUGCAAAACAGAAACUGCUGUUCUCACUCCUGAGUUCAAAACUUGUGCUCAGCUUGGGAGCCGCCAGCCAAUCCUCACGCGUGCUGUCCCACUGCAGGACCCCACAGGAGGACCCCAGAUCAAAGCUGAGUUGACAAACAGGUGUCCUUGUGCCGAGUUCUCUGACCCCAGGUUCUGGCUGCCUUUGGUUCUUUGGUUUUCAUUCUUGCCGCGAGCCCUGCUCUGUUCCACCAAGUAGUAAGAAGAGCUCCCAUUUCUUGAGGGCUUCCCACCCCUGCCAGGCACCUUGCAUUCUUGAUCUCAGUUUAUCCUUAACACACCUGGCUAAAAUAGAUGCUGUUAUUUCCUUCUUACAGGUAUAAAAACUGAGCUCAGAGAGGAUGGAUGACUUGCUCAAGGUCACACAAGUUUUAAGAAGUAGAAUCAGGGCUGGAACCCUGACUGCUGCUCUUCACAGUUCCUUCUCCUGGGCUCUCAGCAGUGAAUCCAAGGCCCUGCUACAUCCUGGAUGUCCAGAGCCUCUCCUACAAGAGGCGAGUGAGUGGUCUGCACCAGAAAUCUCACACGUACCUUUUAGUCUGUGGAGAACAGGAAAGAUGUCCUCCGGAGAGCAGGAUUGGGGUGCAUCACCAAGACUGGGGGAGGCCCUGCUCUGGAUGAGAAAACCCAAGACCCAGGCUACAGGGAGAGAACAGUCAGGUGGUGUGAUUUCUGGAGCAGCAGGGAGGUUGCCUGAAAAACACGAGGCCACCUGCUGGCUGAUGCCUGAAAAUUCCUUAACCUGGGAUUCAACUUUCUCUUUCACAGUCGAGAGUAAAACUUAAAACAGAAACAUCUCCCAAUUCUGUGGCCAUACAUUAAAAUUCAUGCCAAAGUGUAAAUGACUGAUACCAGCUCCCUUUUUAAGAUCCAUGGAGGGUUUUGAGAGAAGGAAGAGGUACCCAGUGGUGCUCCUGUGGGCAUAAGGAAGGAUGGGAAAGACAAUAGGGGACAGCAAACUGAGAAUGGAAGCUCUAAUGUGGGCAAAAGAAUGCAAGAGGGGAGACUGAGAGAUUACCGGAUCUACCAACUCUGCAGUUUUGUCUAAAACUGGUCCUGGCUUCAGAUACUCUCACUCUCUUAAAACAUGGGAGACAUUCUCUGCACAAAGGUGCACUGGGCCUGCUGAAAAUCUUUAAGUAAAAUCCAAGAAUGAUUUAAAAAACCUAUUUUGCAAAGGAAUUCUUCAGGCUUUUUUUUUUUUUUCAAUGCUCUGACUUGAAGAUGAUUGGUUUUGGAAAAUUGCCUCUACUUGAAUGCCACAUGGGCAUUUAAAUGACAACGUGUCCGUAGGAGAUUCCAUAUAUAGGCAGAGUAGGCUCUUAUAAAUAAUAUGCCCUAGGGUCUAUUAAGUUCAAUGGCACUGCUUUUUGUAACGUUUCUCCAUCAGAAAACAAAAUGUUAAAUUUCAACUGACCAGGAAUCCUUUCUUAAUAAAUAUCGUUAAGUCAAA